rnacentral:rRNA from 1 species
AGUGAACGCUGGCGGUAGGCCUAACACAUGCAAGUCGAACGGCAGCACAGUAAGAGCUUGCUCUUACGGGUGGCGAGUGGCGGACGGGUGAGGAAUACAUCGGAAUCUACUUUUUCGUGGGGGAUAACGUAGGGAAACUUACGCUAAUACCGCAUACGACCUACGGGUGAAAGCAGGGGAUCUUCGGACCUUGCGCGAUUGAACGAGCCGAUGUCGGAUUAGCUAGUUGGCGGGGUACAGGCCCACCAAGGCGACGAUCCGUAGCUGGUCUGAGAGGAUGAUCAGCCACACUGGAACUGAGACACGGUCCAGAGUCCUAAGGGAGGCAGCAGAGGGGAAUAUUGGACAAUGGGCGCGAGCCUGAUCCAGCCAUACCGCGUGGGUGAAGAAGGCCUUCGGGUUGUAAAGCCCUUUUGUUGGGAAAGAAAAGCAGCAGGUUAAUACCCCGCUGUUCUGACGGUACCCAAAGAAUAAGCACCGGCUAACUUCGUG